UUGAACGCUGGCGGCAUGCCUUACACCUGCCAGUCGCACGGUAACAGGUCUUCGGAUGCUGACGAGUGGCGAACGGGUGAGUAAUACAUCGGAACGUGCCCGAUCGUGGGGGAUAACGGAGCGAAAGCUUUGCUAAUACCGCAUACGAUCUACGGAUGAAAGCAGGGGACCGCAAGGCCUUGCGCGGACGGAGCGGCCGAUGGCAGAUUAGGUAGUUGGUGGGAUAAAAGCUUACCAAGCCGACGAUCUGUAGCUGGUCUGAGAGGACGACCAGCCACACUGGGACUGAGACACGGCCCAGACUCCUACGGGAGGCAGCAGUGGGGAAUUUUGGACAAUGGGCGAAAGCCUGAUCCAGCCAUGCCGCGUGCAGGAUGAAGGCCUUCGGGUUGUAAACUGCUUUUGUACGGAACGAAAAGACUCUUUCUAAUAAAGAGGGUCCAUGACGGUACCGUAAGAAUAAGCACCGGCUAACUACGUG
rnacentral:rRNA from 1 species